UGCUAUUCACUAAAAAUCUACCGCAACGCUGCGCCCGCCGACGAGCUCUAGGCUGAUCAGCCUUGCGAACGACCGUGGCUACAGCGCUGCGGUAAUUGGUAUUCACUAACGUGUCAAACCUCAUCGACGAACUGUAGGCUGUGAUAACUCGAGGCUGUGCGCACGGACGAGAUAGGGCUUGCAACAAAAACCGUAAAAUGAAACCGAUAACUGUAGAAAUAUAAUAUUUUAUUGACAAAUGGAAUGUUUUAUUCAGUUUAGAAUGUUAUUUAAAUAAAUAUUAUAUAAAAUAAACAUAAAUUUAUACAUCAAACAUUUGAUUUUGUUUUUUAAAGUUAAGAUUUGUUUGAAUACCCUUGCUUCCAUUGCCGUAAAAUAAACAAAUAACACUUAUACGUAGGUACGUAGAGAGUAUUAUAUUCCUUGUACUUAACAUUCCAGAGGCGCACUUUUUGUAUUUGUUUAUUCUCUUUUAAAAAUAAUUAAUAAAAUUAACGUAACUUUACCAACGUUUUAUAAGUUUGGAUGUAUCUAUCAAAUACGUCCACGCCGUCAUUUGACUGACAGUAUCCCGAUGACACUUAUCUCCUUCACAAUAGCAGCCUCAACUAGAAAGAGAGUAGUCUCACAAAGAUUUGUUGCCACUGAAGAGCACCGAGUAGAGACAGAACAAAUUUUGAUAGAGAAUCAGACAACACUAGUUCAUAUCUUAUAGCUAAUGAAUGAGAUAUGACUAAAUUAAAGUCAGCCAUUGUACGAUUUAAUUAAAAAUUUUUUAAAAAAAUUUCAAAUAAUUUUUAUUCAAUUAAAUUUAAAAUAUUAUAAAUGGUAAUUCUUUAUGAUUCUACCAUCCAUUGUGAAGAAGGGGAGAAACCUCAAUUUUGGUUUUUAAAAUACUAAUAGAUUUUACAAUAAUACAUUUCUAAAAAUAUACACUGCCAAACAUAACAAGAGUUAUUGGAAUUAUUAGUUAAAUCAAGUUCAUUAUUGAAAAUAUAAGAUUAAAUUAUGUCAUUUAAUAGUCAUUAGUAAUUUUGAAAUAUAAGUUUCAUCUUAUAUAAUUUUCAAAUAAAAACACAAUUACAAUAAAAUUUUAUAAUUAUAAACUUGUUUCAAUUUCAAAUAAAUAAUUUUUAAUGAA